rnacentral:rRNA from 1 species
CGCAUGGGUUUUACUAUUAAAGAAUUUCGGUUAUCGAUGGGGAUGCGUUCCAUUAGUUUGUUGGCGGGGUAACGGCCCACCAAGACUACGAUGGAUAGGGGUUUGAGAAGGAAGGUCCCCCACAUUGGAACUGAGACACGGUCCAAACUCCUACGGGAGGCAGCAGUGAGGAAUAUUGGUCAAUGGACGAGAGUCUGAACCAGCCAAGUAGCGUGAAGGAUGACUGCCCUAUGGGUUGUAAACUUCUUUUAUAUGGGAAUAAAGUGUUCCACGUGUGGGAUUUUGUAUGUACCAUAUGAAUAAGGAUCGGCUAACUCCGUGCCAGCAGCCGCGGUAAUACGGAGGAUCCGAGCGUUAUCCGGAUUUAUUGGGUUUAAAGGGAGCGUAGGUGGAUUGUUAAGUCAGUUGUGAAAGUUUGCGGCUCAACCGUAAAAUUGCAGUUGAAACUGGCAGUCUUGAGUACAGUAGAGGUGGGCGGAAUUCGUGGUGUAGCGGUGAAAUGCUUAGAUAUCACGAAGAACUCCGAUUGCGAAGGCAGCUCACUAGACUGCAACUGACACUGAUGCUCGAAAGUGUGGGUAUCAAACAGGAUUAGAUACCCUGGUAGUCCACACAGUAAACCAUGAAGGGGCGCUGUUUGCGAUAUACAGUAAGCGGCCAAGCGAAAGCAUUAAGUAUUCCACCUGGGGAGUACGCCGGCAACGGUGAAACUCAAAGGAAAUGACGGGGGCCCGCACAAGCGGAGGAACAUGUGGUUUAAUUCGAUGAUACGCGAGGAACCUUACCCGGGCUUAAAUUGCAUUUGAAUAAUCUGGAAACAGGUUAGCCGCAAGGCAAAUGUGAAGGUGCUGCAUGGUUGUCGUCAGCUCGUGCCGUGAGGUGUCGGCUUAAGUGCCAUAACGAGCGCAACCCUUAUCUUUAGUUACUAACAGGUCAUGCUGAGGACUCUAGAGAGACUGCCGUCGUAAGAUGUGAGGAAGGUGGGGAUGACGUCAAAUCAGCACGGCCCUUACGUCCGGGGCUACACACGUGUUACAAUGGGGGGUACAGAAGGCAGCUACCUGGCGACAGGAUGCUAAUCCCAAAAACCUCUCUCAGUUCGGAUCGAAGUCCGCAACCCGACUUCGUGAAGCUGGAUUCGCUAGUAAUCGCGCAUCAGCCAUGGCGCGGUGAAUACGUUCCCGGGCCUUGCCC